rnacentral:rRNA from 1 species
AACGAACGCUGGCGGCAUGCCUAACACAUGCAAGUCGAACGAGACCUUCGGGUCUAGUGGCGCACGGGUGCGUAACGCGUGGGAACCUGCCCUUAGGUUCGGAAUAACUCCCCGAAAGGGGUGCUAAUACCGGAUAAUGUCUUCGGACCAAAGAUUUAUCGCCUUUGGAUGGGCCCGCGUUGGAUUAGCUAGUUGGUAGGGUAAAAGCCUACCAAGGCGACGAUCCAUAGCUGGUCUGAGAGGAUGAUCAGCCACACUGGGACUGAGACACGGCCCAGACUCCUACGGGAGGCAGCAGUGGGGAAUAUUGGACAAUGGGCGAGAGCCUGAUCCAGCAAUGCCGCGUGAGUGAUGAAGGCCUUAGGGUUGUAAAGCUCUUUUACCCGGGAUGAUAACGACAGUACCGGGAGAAUAAGCUCCGGCUAACUCCGUG